CAAGACACUGUCUACCUAGAUCCUUAGGAUCUAGGCUGCUGUAUGCCUCCAGGGACUGCUGUAGCAGCAAUACACAGUCAAACCUGUUAUGUAGGAAACAGCUUAAGGACUGCACAGUAAAGCUACGGAGAACACAGAAUACUCUAUUUUUGUAUUCUUUACUUAUUAAUGAGUAAAUACCUACUCAAUGCCUGCUGAACUGAACUGGCUAUGCAAUUCUCACACACACACACACACACACACACACACACACACACACCCAUACCCUAAACUUGCAUUGUGUUUUAUUAAAAAAAAUUCCAAUUGUGGUUACAAAGAAAAGUAUCUCCAGUAAUGCAGUCUUCUAUAAUACAGAAGUAAUCAAGUCUUCUCUAGUAAUAAAUGACAGGAAACAAGAAAAAGGCAUCAAGACAAAAGUCUUUUAUUUAUCUGAAGAUGACAGCUAUGUAAGAUGACGGAAAAGAUACAAGACUGAGGUGAUUCCAGGAUGUUAAGUUUUAUAGCAUGAAGAUCCACAGAUUGCAGGAAACUUGUUCUUUUAUUUUCUACCAUGUGUGAAUGACUACUUUCACAGCUUAAAUUACUUCUUAAAACAAUUCUUUCUUUGGAUUUAAUUCCCCACGCUGGAAUAGACGGCUGAAAGGGUGAAUGUUUUUGAUGAUGAUGAUGAUGACAAC